CCCUUAGAUAUGCUGGGCGGCACGCGCGCUACAAUGGGGAGCGAAAUACGCAGCUCCCUUGCAAUGGGGGAGCUAAGCGUGGAAACGACGCCGUGAGUGGGAUAGUUGUCUGAAAUUUCUCUACUUGAACGUGGAAUCCCUUGUACGGACUUCCUAGAAUGGAGUUUGGAAUACGUCCCUGUGGAAUGUACACACCGCCCGUCGCACCUACCGAUUGAAUGGUCCGGUGAAGCCUCGGGAUUGUGGCCAGUUCACUUUAUUGGGAGUUGGCUGUGAGAACUUGUCUAAACCUUAUCAUUUAGAGGAAGGUGAAGUCGUAACA
rnacentral:rRNA from 1 species